GGAAGAAGUUCUAAAAUGUUGCCAAGAAGGCACAUUUAGACGUCGCCUUCCCCCUUCUGUUACAUCUAAAUUUGCUGUGCUUGAUAAAAGCUUUAGACAUUAUGAUACCUAUGUCAGAUAUAAAAAAGAGGAGAAGAUUCCCAAUAUACCAUACUAUAUUCGGGUGACUCCAAAGAAAUCCAACGUAGAAAUACGAUAUGCUCGACCACCUAGGGACCCAUUCCUUUUCUCUAAGGUAAAGCCUACAUUACUUCCAACUCAAUACAAAACAACUAAAAAGGCUCGAAAUGUCCCAGAAAA